CCUACGGGAGGCAGCAGUAGGGAAUCUUCCACAAUGGACGAAAGUCUGAUGGAGCAACGCCGCGUGAGUGAAGAAGGGUUUCGGCUCGGAAAGCUCUGUUGGUAGUGAAGAAAGAUAGAGGUAGUAACUGGCCUUUAUUUGACGUUAAUUACUUAGAAAGUCACGGAUAACUACGUCCCAGCAGCCGCGGUAAUACGUAGGUGGCAAGCGUUGUCCGGAUUUAUUUGGCGGAAGGCGAGUGCAGGCGGUUCAAUAAGUCUGAUGUGAAAGCCUUCGGCUCAACCGGAGAAUUGAAUCAGAAACGGUUGAACUUGAGUGCAGAAGAGGAGAGUGGAACUCCAUGUGUAGCGGUGGAAUGCGUAGAUAUAUGGAAGAACACCAGUGGCGAAGGCGGCUCUCUGGUCUGCAACUGACGCUGAGGCUCGAAAGCAUGGGUAGCGAACAGGAUUAGAUACCCCAGUAGUC
rnacentral:rRNA from 1 species